GAUGAACGCUAGCGACAGGCCUAACACAUGCAAGUCGAGGGGCAGCACGGUGUAGCAAUACACGGGUGGCGACCGGCGCACGGGUGAGUAACGCGUAUGCAACCUGCCUACUACAAGGGGAUAACCCGUUGAAAGACGGACUAAUACCCUAUAACACAGGGAAUCCGCAUGGAUAUAUUUGUUAAAGAUUUAUCGGUAGUAGAUGGGCAUGCGUUCCAUUAGCUUGUUGGUGAGGUAACGGCUCACCAAGGCAACGAUGGAUAGGGGAACUGAGAGGUUGAUCCCCCGCACUGGAACUGAGACACGGUCCAGACUCCUACGGGAGGCAGCAGUGAGGAAUAUUGGUCAAUGGACGAGAGUCUGAACCAGCCAAGUCGCGUGAAGGAAGACGGCCCUAGGGUUGUAAACUUCUUUUGUAAGGGAAUAAAUAGUCUUACGCGACUAAGACGUUGCAGGUACCUUACGAAUAAGGAUCGGCUAACUCCGUGCCAGCAGCCGCGGUAAUGUCACG
rnacentral:rRNA from 1 species